GGGCCCGCACAAGCGGUGGAGCAUGUGGUUUAAUUCGAUGAUACGCGAGGAACCUUACCAGGACUUAAAUGUAAGUUGCAUGAUUCAGAAAUGGAUCUUUCUUCGGACUACUUACAAGGUGCUGCAUGGUUGUCGUCAGCUCGUGCCGUGAGGUGUCAGGUUAAGUCCUAUAACGAGCGCAACCCCUAUCGUUAGUUGCCAUCAAGUAAAGUUGGGAACUCUAGCGAAACUGCCGGUGCAAACCGUGAGGAAGGUGGGGAUGACGUCAAAUCAUCACGGCCCUUACGUCCUGGGCCACACACGUGCUACAAUGGUCAGUACAGAAAGCAGCCACUAUGCGAAUAGGAGCUAAUCUUCAAAGCUGAUCUCAGUUCGGAUCGGAGUCUGCAACUCGACUCCGUGAAGCUGGAAUC
rnacentral:rRNA from 1 species